rnacentral:lncRNA from 1 species
AAGUAAUAAGGUAAAGUAAGAGAUGUGUGCAUUCGGAAGUUGGCUACAGGGAAUCCUGUACAUAAACGUGAUCCCAUCUUACCGUAAGUAAUUAUAUGUGUUGUUGUUGUUUUAAUAUUAUUUCCUGAUUAUAAAAAUUAUAUUUAUGCCUUUACAUAUAUAUGGCUUAAUUUCUUUCCCUGUUUUUGCAUGGCUGUACAUAGGUCUGUUGCUGACCCAAGAAUAAUAUUGUAAUUCUAAAUUUUCUCGAAUACAGCCAGGUCAUGAUAAAAAGUAUAAAGUCCAUUAAAGUACUAAUGCAAAUUUCAUUAUUAAAGUAAUCGAUCUUGAAAUAAUGAAACUACCAAAACUAAAAGCAACUUUCAUUCCGAAUUUCUCUCCAGUGCCCCAUGGGAGCUAAGGAGCUGGACAUUCACCAAAGCAACUUUGGGGAAUAAAGCCAUGUUCAACAACAGGAAGCCCCUUUGGCUCAGGGUCUCGUGGCCAAAGAAACCUAGGAAUGGCCUGUUAAGAUCCCAGCUCAAAGGGAGCUCAGGGAAUGGAUCAUCUUUCUCAGGCUGAGCAUCCAACCUCAUUUAUACUUGGCCAUGUGCAGCCUGUGUGAGAAUUAGGACAUUAUGGUGUAUGCAGUAUUUCCCACACUAUUGAAAAGAACUUAAUUCUCAGCCCAUAUGUCUUAUAAAAUUACAAAAGUUUCAAUUUAUCAAAUAGAAAAUCAGCAAAAAUACAAG